GACGAACGCUGGCGGCGUGCUUAACACAUGCAAGUCGAGCGGUAAGGCCCGUUUCGGGGGUACACGAGCGGCGAACGGGUGAGUAACACGUGGGUGACCUGCCCUCAGCUCUGGGAUAAGCCUGGGAAACCGGGUCUAAUACCGGAUAUGACUCCAUGACGCAUGUUGUGGGGUGGAAAGCCUUGUGCGGCUGAGGAUGGGCCCGCGGCCUAUCAGCUUGUUGGUGGGGUGAUGGCCUACCAAGGCGACGACGGGUAGCCGGCCUGAGAGGGCGACCGGCCACACUGGGACUGAGA
rnacentral:rRNA from 1 species